rnacentral:rRNA from 1 species
UUGUGCGUACCCAGCAAUGGGGAGCAGCGUAAGGGGCAGUAAGGCAUGGGUAUCUACCCGGGGAUCGGGCAUAGCCUGUAGAGAUACAGGGUAAUUCCCGAUGAUGUCGCAAGACCAAAGCUCCGGCGUCCCUGGAGGAGCCCAUGUGAUAUUAGCUAGUUGGUGGGGUAACGGCCCACCAAGGCGAAGAUGUCUAGCGGGUGUGAGAGCACGACCCGCGCCACUGGCACUGAGACACUGGCCAGACACCUACGGGUGGCUGCAGUCGAGGAUCUUCGGCAAUGGGCGCAAGCCUGACCGAGCGAGGCCGCGUGGGCGACGAAGGCCUUCGGGUUGUAAAGCCCUGUCGAGGGGGAGAAAAGCCGAAAGGUGUGAUCUAUCCCUGGAGGAAGCACGGGCUAAGUUCGUGCCAGCAGCCGCG